ACGCUGGCGGCAGGCCUAACACAUGCAAGUCGAGCGGUAGCACAGAGAGCUUGCUCUCGGGUGACGAGCGGCGGACGGGUGAGUAAUGUCUGGGAAACUGCCUGAUGGAGGGGGAUAACUACUGGAAACGGUAGCUAAUACCGCAUAACGUCGCAAGACCAAAGUGGGGGACCUUCGGGCCUCAUGCCAUCAGAUGUGCCCAGAUGGGAUUAGCUAGUAGGUGGGGUAAUGGCUCACCUAGGCGACGAUCCCUAGCUGGUCUGAGAGGAUGACCAGCCACACUGGAACUGAGACACGGUCCAGACUCCUACGGGAGGCAGCAGUGGGGAAUAUUGCACAAUGGGCGCAAGCCUGAUGCAGCCAUGCCGCGUGUGUGAAGAAGGCCUUCGGGUUGUAAAGCACUUUCAGCGGGGAGGAAGGCGGUGAGGUUAAUAACCUUGUCGAUUGACGUUACCCGCAGAAGAAGCACCGGCUAACUCCGUGCCAGCAGCCGCGGUAAUACGGAGGGUGCAAGCGUUAAUCGGAAUUACUGGGCGUAAAGCGCACGCAGGCGGUCUGUCAAGUCGGAUGUGAAAUCCCCGGGCUCAACCUGGGAACUGCAUUCGAAACUGGCAGGCUAGAGUCUUGUAGAGGGGGGUAGAAUUCCAGGUGUAGCGGUGAAAUGCGUAGAGAUCUGGAGGAAUACCGGUGGCGAAGGCGGCCCCCUGGACAAAGACUGACGCUCAGGUGCGAAAGCGUGGGGAGCAAACAGGAUUAGAUACCCUGGUAGUCCACGCCGUAAACGAUGUCGAUUUGGAGGUUGUGCCCUUGAGGCGUGGCUUCCGGAGCUAACGCGUUAAAUCGACCGCCUGGGGAGUACGGCCGCAAGGUUAAAACUCAAAUGAAUUGACGGGGGCCCGCACAAGCGGUGGAGCAUGUGGUUUAAUUCGAUGCAACGCGAAGAACCUUACCUGGUCUUGACAUCCACAGAACUUUCCAGAGAUGGAUUGGUGCCUUCGGGAACUGUGAGACAGGUGCUGCAUGGCUGUCGUCAGCUCGUGUUGUGAAAUGUUGGGUUAAGUCCCGCAACGAGCGCAACCCUUAUCCUUUGUUGCCAGCGGUUAGGCCGGGAACUCAAAGGAGACUGCCAGUGAUAAACUGGAGGAAGGUGGGGAUGACGUCAAGUCAUCAUGGCCCUUACGACCAGGGCUACACACGUGCUACAAUGGCAUAUACAAAGAGAAGCGACCUCGCGAGAGCAAGCGGACCUCAUAAAGUAUGUCGUAGUCCGGAUUGGAGUCUGCAACUCGACUCCAUGAAGUCGGAAUCGCUAGUAAUCGUAGAUCAGAAUGCUACGGUGAAUACGUUCCCGGGCCUUGUACACACCGCCCGUCACACCAUGGGAGUGGGUUGCAAAAGAAGUAGGUAGCUUAACCUUCGGGAGGGCGCUUACCACUUUGUGAUUCAUGACUGGG
rnacentral:rRNA from 1 species